rnacentral:lncRNA from 1 species
AAGACAUGCUGACGAAUGUAGUAGUUUCAUUAGUCUUGAAUCCCAGUGAUGAAAUGAGGUUGUAUAAAAGCUGUCAUAAGUGACAGAGUCUCCUGUGGGAUGAAUUUAUAGUGUAUCAUGGCUCAGAAGGGGUGCUGCUGGCAUAAAAUUGAAUUAACCUGUUUUAAGUUCCAAUGUAGGAAGGACACGUUAGGCUGAAAAGGUCUAUCCAUAAAAUCUCAGCUUUUAAAGUUUUAAAUCUACCUGUGUAGGUUUCCUUUACCCUUCUGAGCAUCUUAGCUGAUAUGAUCAACUCAG